GGAGUGUUAGCUCAGCGGAAAGCAAUUGACUGCAGAUCAAUAGGUCUUCGGUUCAAAUCCGGAACGCCCCU
rnacentral:tRNA from 1 species